rnacentral:rRNA from 1 species
UACGUAGGGGGCAAGCGUUGUCCGGAAUCAUUGGGCGUAAAGGGCUCGUAGGCGGCCAACUAAGUCAGACGUGAAAUCCCCAGGCUCAACCUGGGAACCGCGCUUGAGACUGGAGAACUAGAGUUCGGGAGAGGAUGGUGGAAUUCCCAGUGUAGAGGUGAAAUUCGUAGAUAUUGGGAAGAACACCGAUGGCGAAGGCAGCCAUCUGGACCGACACUGACGCUGAGGCGCGAAAGCGUGGGGAUCAAACAGG